rnacentral:rRNA from 1 species
UACGUAGGGUGCGAGCGUUGUUCGGAAUUACUGGGCGUAAAGGGUUUGUAGGUGGCUUGCUAAGUCAGACGUGAAAUCCCUCAGCUUAACUGGGGAACUGCGUCUGAGACUGGUGAGCUUGAGUGCAGGAGAGGAACGCGGAAUUCCAGGUGUAGCGGUGAAAUGCGUAGAUAUCUGGAGGAACACCGGUGGCGAAGGCGGCGUUCUGGACUGCAACUGACACUGAGGAACGAAAGCCAGGGGAGCAAACGGG